rnacentral:rRNA from 1 species
GUGCCAGCCGCCGCGGUAAUACAGAGGUCCCAAGCGUUGUUCGGAUUCACUGGGCGUAAAGGGUGCGUAGGUGGUGAGGUAAGUCGGAUGUGAAAUCUCCGAGCUCAACUCGGAAAUGGCAUUGGAAACUACCUUGCUAGAGGAUUGGAGGGGAGACUGGAAUGCUUGGUGUAGCAGUGAAAUGCGUAGAUAUCAAGCGGAACACCAGUGGCGAAGGCGAGUCUCUGGACAAUUCCUGACACUGAGGCACGAAAGCCAGGGGAGCAAACGGGAUUAGAAACCCUGGUAGUCC